rnacentral:rRNA from 1 species
UACGAAGGGGGCUAGCGUUGCUCGGAAUCACUGGGCGUAAAGGGCGCGUAGGCGGCCGUUCAAGUCGGGGGUGAAAGCCUGUGGCUCAACCACAGAAUGGCCCUCGAUACUGGAUGGCUCGAGACCGGAAGAGGUUGGUGGAACUGCGAGUGUAGAGGUGAAAUUCGUAGAUAUUCGCAAGAACACCAGUGGCGAAGGCAGCUCGCUGGGACGGUACUGACGCUGAGACGCGAAAGCGUGGGGAGCAAACAGG